GGGGUUAAUGUAUAUUUAUAUUGAUUUAUCAAAUGCUUAUUUUAUUGAUAAAAAGAUAGCCAAUACAUUAAUGAAAGGGAAAAUUAAAGGUUAAAACAACAAUAAACCUAACACCAAACCUUAGGCCCCCAAACUUUUACAGAGAAAGAAAUGUGUCUCACACUCUCAAAGUCAUUUGAGGGUGCCUCAGGGGACCCUAAAAACGUCUGGACAAAACUUAACAGAGAAGGAAAGAAAAACCAAAAGCAAAAAAAACAAGAAAAAACAUAGAAAUAGAAAAAAAACCUAAAAUAAAGACUAUUAAUAUUCCCUCUAAACCUUUCUCCUUCCUUGCACCGGAGAAAAUCCAAUCAGAGUGGAUUGGUCCAUAAGCCCCGAAAUCUUUGAUUAAAUCAUUUCCUUUCAACCAAACCUACCAUCUACUGAGUUCCUUAAAGUAAAAAAUCUUCCUUCAGACUCAGAAUAAACAAGAACACACUCUUCUUAUAUUCUUUGAAAAACCUUUUUUUUUCCCUUCAUGACUAGUUGCUGAAUCUCUGAAGAGACCUCUUUCACCCAAUAAAUUGAUGUGGGAGAAACGUUCACUGCUUAUAUAAUUUUGUUAAUUUGUGUUUAGUUUUGAAUGCUGGUUUUAAUGAAAACGGUGCGUGUAAGGGAGGGUAGUCGACUAAGUGCAAAAAAUGGGGAGUUUAGCAAUAUUAGUGAUACGGUGUAUUUGAGUCAAUUCUAUUUUAAACAGCCUGUCAAAAUCUGCCCGUUGCCCACCCUUUAUGAACCAAUUAGCAUGAAGGGUGAGAGAGUUAUGGAAAUACACAAGAAUUUUAUGCUCUUUCUGUAACGCCCCAAAAAUUGAGCUUAGAAGAGUUGGGCUUUGAGUCUGGGAUUCGGAUAGAAGAAAACUUGAAUAUUGAGAAGUUUUAAAUAUUAC
rnacentral:lncRNA from 1 species